ensembl:lncRNA
CGACGGCUUCCGGUUGUUGUGGCGACGGCUUCCGGUUGUUAUGGAGACGGCCUCUUGUUUACAGGCCCUUAGGAGGGCGACAGGUGGAUGGUCAUCUUCCUUCAUUUUAAAAACAAUUUUAAAAAAUAAAAUAAAAUAAAAAAAAUACCAAAAAAACUAUUAAAAUUAAAUAAAAUCGCUAGAAAAAAAAUAUAAAAAUAAAUAAAUAAAUGUUAAAAAAUGAAAAAAAUCUAUACCACAACUCUAUAGAGGACGAAGACGAUGCUGAAACUCUGGGAACCAUGUUCUGAUCUGGAGUGGGGUCGGUCAGUGUCCUGACUGUAGAUCUGGUGUAGGUCGGUCAGUGUCCUGACUGUAGAUCUGGUGUGGGGUCGGUCAGUGUCCUGACUAGAUCUGGUGUAGGUCGGUCAGUGUCCUGACUAGAUCUGGUGUGGGGUCGGUCAGUGUCCUGACUGUAGAUCUGGUGUGGGGUCGGUCAGUGUCCUGACUGUAGAUCUGGUGUAGGUCGGUCAGUGUCCUGACUAGAUCUGGUGUGGGGUCGGUCAGUGUCCUGACUAGAUCUGGUGUAGGUCGGUCAGUGUCCUGACUGUAGAUCUGGUGUGGGGUCGGUCAGUGUCCUGACUAGAUCUGGUGUAGGUCGGUCAGUGUCCUGACUGUAGAUCUGGUGUGGGGUCGGUCAGUGUCCUGACUGUAGAUCUGGUGUAGGUCGGUCAGUGUCCUGACUAGAUCUGGUGUGGGGUCGGUCAGUGUCCUGACUGUAGAUCUGGUGUGGGGUCGGUCAGUGUCCUGACUGUAGAUCUGGUGUGGGGUCGGUCAGUGUCCUGACUAGAUCUGGUGUGGGGUCGGUCAUGUCCUGACCCGUAGAUCUGGUGUGGGGUCGGUCAGUGUCCUGACCCGUGGUUCUGGUGUGGUUCUGGUUAGACCUGAAAUGGAGCCAGUGUCUCCCCAGAUUCUCUCCUUGUCGGAUGCAUCCAUCUUCUAGCACUGAAACGACUUCUGGUUGUGUGAGUUAGUUUGUACCUGCUUGGAAGAGCUCAGCGGUUUCACCCCCCCCCAAAAAUGCUGUCUUACGAAAAGGUAGAGAAAUCGGCGUGCUUCCUCCUCCUCCUCGCCACUGUCCUCCCAGUGUGUGUGUGUGUGUGUGUGUGUGUGUGUGUGUGUGUGUGUGUGUGUGUGUGUGUGUGUGUGACGUCAGUGGGACUGAACCAUAAAGCUGAUCCCUGUAUCUAUGCAUAUUGUAGCCAAUCACAAGGACUACAGACACGGGGAGGAGGGGCUUAAUUCUGUCUGUGUCACAACGUCAAAAUGUUUUAAAAUUAAUAAUGUGAUGAUGAUCUCUCU